AGAGUUUGAUCCUGGCUCAGAUUGAACGCUGGCGGUAUGCUUUACACAUGCAAGUCGAACGGAUCAAGAAGCUUGCUUCUUGGUUAGUGGCGAACGGGUGAGUAAUAUAUCGGAACAUAUCCGGAAGUGGGGGAUAACGUAGCGAAAGUUACGCUAAUACCGCAUAUGCCCUGAGGGGGAAAGGGGGGGAUCGCAAGACCUCUCGCUUUCGGAGUGGCCGAUAUCGGAUUAGCUAGAUGGUGAGGUAAAGGCUCACCAUGGCGACGAUCCGUAGCUGGUCUGAGAGGACGACCAGCCACACUGGAACUGAGACACGGUCCAGACUCCUACGGGAGGCAGCAGUGGGGAAUUUUGGACAAUGGGCGAAAGCCUGAUCCAGCCAUACCGCGUGAGUGAAGAAGGCCUUCGGGUUGUAAAGCUCUUUCAGCCGGAAAGAAAUCGCAUUCCUUAAUACGGGGUGUGGAUGACGGUACCGGAAGAAGAAGCACCGGCUAACUACGUGCCAGCAGCCGCGGU
rnacentral:rRNA from 1 species